CAGUCGCCGCGGUAAAACGUAGGUGGCAAGCGUUGUCCGGAAUUAUUGGGCGUAAAGGGCUCGCAGGCGGUUUCUUAAGUCUGAUGUGAAAGCCCCCGGCUCAACCGGGGAGGGUCAUUGGAAACUGGGAAACUUGAGUGCAGAAGAGGAGAGUGGAAUUCCACGUGUAGCGGUGAAAUGCGUAGAGAUGUGGAGGAACACCGGUGGCGAAGGCGACUCUCUGGUCUGUAACUGACGCUGAGGAGCGAAAGCGUGGGGAGCGAACAGGAUUAGAUACCCCCGUAGUCCCUGUCUCUUAUAC
rnacentral:rRNA from 1 species